rnacentral:sRNA from 1 species
GAUACCGGUGGUGGCACUCCUGAAUCUCAGGACGGGGUUCAAAUCCCUGCGGUGUC